rnacentral:siRNA from 1 species
UUAUUUCGGGUUCUGAUUGUC